AUGUUCUCCAUAAAUCUCCUUCUGCUGUUGGUGGUGGCUGUUGUGCUCACACAGUCUGAGCAGUCAGUAACUGUGUCUCCAAGUGGAUCUGUUAAACUGACCUGUGCAUGUAGUGGAUUCACUCUUAGUAGCUAUAGGAUGCACUGGAUCCGUCAGGCCCCUGGAAAAGGACUGGAGUGGAUUAUUUAUUAUUAUUCAGACUCUAACAAAGGCUCAGCUCAGUCAGUGCAGGGCAGAUUCACAGCAUCUAAGGACAGCUCUAAUCUCUAUCUGCACAUGAGUCAGUUAAAGACUGAAGACACUGCAGUGUAUUACUGUGCAAGAGAUUAA